GCCGGGUGUGGUGGCGCGUGCCUGUAGUCCCAGCUACUCGGGAGGCUGAGGCUCGUGGAUCACUUGAGCCCAGGAGUUCUGGGCUGUAGUGCGCUAUGCCAAUCAGGUGUCCGCACUAAGUUCUGCAUCAGUAUGGUGACCUCCUGGGAGUAGGGGAUCACCAGGUUGCCUAAGGAGGGGUGAACCGGCCUAGGUUGGAAACGGAGCAGGUCAAAACUCCUGUGCUGAUCAGUAGUGGGAUCGAGCCUGUGAAUAGCCACUGCACUCCAACCUAGGCAACAUAGUGAAACCCCAUCUCUU
ensembl:misc_RNA Metazoa_SRP Metazoan signal recognition particle RNA